AUACGAAGGGGGCUAGCGUUGUUCGGAAUUACUGGGCGUAAAGCGUACGUAGGCGGACUGAUCAGUUGGGGGUGAAAUCCCAGGGCUUAACCCUGGAACUGCCUUCAAUACUGUCAGUCUUGAGAUUGGAAGAGGUGAGUGGAAUUCCUAGUGUAGAGGUGAAAUUCAUAGAUAUUAGGAGGAACACCAGUGGCGAAGGCGGCUCACUGGUCCAAUACUGACGCUGAGGUACGAAAGCGUGGGGAGCAAACAGGAUUAGAAACCCCAGUAGUCC
rnacentral:rRNA from 1 species